AGACGAGGCUGUGGGGGAACACUGCAGUACUGGACCUGCUCCCGGUCCCCCCUCCCCACUUUCCUUUCCGGUGGUUUGCAGGUGGAAGCCACCUGCACUUGCAGGGAACCCAGGGAUUUGCCUCCUCCUCCUCUCUUCCUGGGCGGGAGGCCAACCUGCUUUCAAUGCAGUAGGGAGCUGGUACCCAAGCCUGACCGCCGCGCCACAAGCCCACCAUUUUUUUUGCCCCAAAGUCGACAGGAGCAGGAGCAGGAAAGGAGCAUAGGCAAUGCAGUCGUGGGCCCGCAUUGGUGUUCGCCCUCGCCUUUGGAUAGCCUCUGAUCAAAUCGCGGGCAGAUGCUACUCUCCUCCUCUGGUCUAGAAGCGCGCCCGCCUACGCCUACUCCAAGGACCUAUGCGUGCAUGUGUGCUCACUCAGUCUUGACCAACUCUUUGCAACUGUUUCCAACUACAUGGACUGUUGCCAGCCAGGCUCCUCUGUCAAUGGAAUGUUCCAGGGCCCACCUGUCUGGAGAUGGACUUGAGGAAUUCUGCUCUCUCCAGCCCAGACGUUCCCCCUGCUGCUACCGCCUCUGCGUUCUUUCCUGAUGACGCCCGUGUCAGUACUUGGAUCUCAAGACUUGCUGCCUGGGACUGUAGCAGGCCCCGUCCAGCCUGGGGCGCCCAGGCCUGCCUCCCCAACUCCCGCCCCAGGGGGAAUAGCCAGGUGGGAAGUGCAGUGACAGGAGCCCCUCUCUUCUGCUUCUGGCCUCGUCCUAACUGAACCGGGACACACAUACACAUGCACGCGCACACACACACACACUGCAGAUGUCCAGAGAAAUGAGGAAGGGACACACACACGCACACACCCUUGCAGAUGCCCGGAGAAAGAAGGAGGGGACUCUGAGGAAAGGUGGGGUGGCACCUCCGUUUUCUGGGAGACACUCAGGGGGAGGGAAGGCAGGUGCAGACCUGGGCUGAAGGUUGCAGUGGCGGGCUCUUGGCUGGGCAGGGCUUGGGCUGCCACUGGCUGAAGGGCCGUGAAGGCUGGGCGCCCUCUACCCUUCUCCAUGCCUCUGUGUCCUCUUCCUGCUCCCUGAAACGUGGGCUCAGGGGCUGUGGUAGAGCAAUGCACACGGUCCCUUCCAGACCCAGGAUGCUCUGAGUCCACACUGUCCACCAGAAUGGAGUGACAAGGGGUCUUUCUUAGGAACACCAUUUGGCCUGACUGGGGGCCUUUCCAGACUGGUGGCUGCUGCCUUUCCCAGAAUCCAGGUGAACUUAGAGCACAGAACUCUUCCCUCCUGAGCCCCAGCCUUCUCACAGCCUUACUCACUCUUGGCCUCUCAGCCUCUCGAAAGGGUCCAAAUCAACCCUAGUUUUUUGAGGUCUGGGUGAUAGAGGUUGAAACAGAGGAGACAGUUACAAUCUUGAAUAUUUGGUUCACCAAACUUAUAUUUACUAAAUCUUUUAUCCUCUGUCCUAUAUAGGAUAUCAAAUAAGACACAAAUGUUCCCGGGGAUCACUGGUUUAUAUGGGAGCAUGUGUGUGUGCUAGGUCACUUCAUUUGUGUCCGACUCUGUGCAACUCCAUGGGCUGUAGCCCACCAGGCU